rnacentral:rRNA from 1 species
UACGUAGGGUACGAGCGUUGUCCGGAAUUAUUGGGCGUAAAGAGCUCGUAGGUGGUUGGUCAUGUCUGCUGUGGAAACGCAACGCUUAACGUUGCGCGGGCAGUGGGUACGGGCUGACUAGAGUGCAGUAGGGGAGUCUGGAAUUCCUGGUGUAGCGGUGAAAUGCGCAGAUAUCAGGAGGAACACCGGUGGCGAAGGCGGGACUCUGGACUGUAACUUACGCUGAGGCACGAAAGCGUGGGGAGCAAACAGGAUUAGAUACCCUGGUA